GUGGUAGUCGGGGAGAGAGCACAGUCCCUUUCCAUUUAGGUUUAGAAGCAAAGAAAGUGUUUCUGAUCCUCAUUUAUGUUUCCAUUGGUAAACCAUUGUACGCUUGCAGUUGCAUAAAAUGGGUGUUAAAAGCUUGCUUAGGGCGAGAGGCAAAAACUGAAGGGGAAAGCCAAAGGACUCUUGGACCUUAGUCUGUGGCUCUUAGCCUGGGGGAUGAUGCAAACUCAUGCUGCAAACUCACUGAUUUCUCUCUGGAACUGCAAUAAACCUAAUAGAAGGAAAAGAACUGCUGGAAAAGAGAAACGGUGCCAGCAGAGAACUCACAAGGUCUUCAAUAUAAGAUUGCCAUAAAGGAACAAUACAAGACAAACAGGGAUGAGGAGGAACCUCCACUAAUGAUGGAAGAGAAGGCAUGAAGACACGAGCUGCAUUGCUGAAAAAUUGAAUGGAAAAAUGUAUUACCCUUUAUGCCAGUAAGUUAAAGGUUCCAUGUGCUCCUAUAUUAAAGGAACAUCCCUAUAAUACAUUUCCAGUACAGCUGAUGCGCUAAGUAUAGGGACAACCAGUAGCACCCUGUCUAUUUUUUAGACAAAGAAAUAGAUUACUUUUGUGAGUGAAUUGUGCCCAUUUUUAAAAUCACGUGUUAAUUAAAGUUUCUCAAACUAACUGAGAAUCUAAUAAAAUUGUACUGAGGGCUAAA